rnacentral:rRNA from 1 species
CCUACGGGAGGCAGCAGUGGGGAAUAUUGCGCAAUGGGGGAAACCCUGACGCAGCAACGCCGCGUGAGUGAAGAAGUAUCUCGGUAUGUAAAGCUCUAUCAGCGGGGAAGAAGGAAGACGGUACCCGACUAAGAAGCCCCGGCUGACUACGUGCCAGCAGCCGCGGUAAUACGUAGGGGGCGAGCGUUGUCCGGAUGUACUGGGUGUAAAGGGAGCGUAGACGGCGGCGCAAGUCUGAAGUGAAAGCCCGUGGCUCAACCGCGGAACCGCUUUGGAAACUGGGGGGCUGGAGUGCUGGAGAGGGAAGCGGAAUUCCCGGUGUAGCGGUGAAAAGCGUAGAUAUCAGGAGGAACACAGG